AACGAACGCUGGCGGCAGGCCUAACACAUGCAAGUCGAGCGGACCUUUCGGGUUCAGCGGCGGACGGGUGAGUAACGCGUGGGAAUAUGCCCUUCUCUACGGAAUAGUCCUGGGAAACUGGGGGUAAUACCGUAUACGCCCUUUGGGGGAAAGAUCUAUCGGGGAAGGAUUAGCCCGCGUUGGAUUAGGUAGUUGGUGGUGUAAUGGCCUACCAAGCCGACGAUCCAUAGCUGGUUUGAGAGGAUGAUCAGCCACACUGGGACUGAGACACGGCCCAGACUCCUACGGGAGGCAGCAGUGGGGAAUCUUAGACAAUGGGGGCAACCCUGAUCUAGCCAUGCCGCGUGAGUGAUGAAGGCCUUAGGGGUGUAAAGCUCUUUCAGCUGGGAAGAUAAUGACGGUACCAGCAGAAGAAGCCCCGGCUAACUCCGUG
rnacentral:rRNA from 1 species